AACGUAGGGGGCUAGCGUUGCCCGGAAUCAUUGGGCGUAAAGCGCGUGUAGGCGGCUCGGUAAGUCUGCUCUGAAAGCCCGGGGCUCAACCCUGGGAGGCGGGUGGAUACUGCUGAGCUCGAGUCCGGAAGAGGCGAGUGGAAUUCCUGGUGUAGCGGUGAAAUGCGCAGAUAUCAGGAGGAACACCAAUGGCGAAGGCAGCUCGCUGGGACGGUACUGACGCUGAGACGCGAAAGCGUGGGGAGCAAACAGG
rnacentral:rRNA from 1 species